CCCCGGAUAGCGCAGGUGGUAGUGCGCACAACUUUGAUUCGUUAGGUCGUCGGUUCGAGACCCGCCAAGGUCUGAGGU